rnacentral:rRNA from 1 species
UGGGGAAUAUUGCACAAUGGGCGCAAGCCUGAUGCAGCCAUGCCGCGUGUGUGAAGAAGGCCUUCGGGUUGUAAAGCACUUUCAGCGAGGAGGAAGGGUAGUGUGUUAAUAGCACAUUGCAUUGACGUUACUCGCAGAAGAAGCACCGUCUAACUCCGUGCCAGCAGCCGCGGUAAUACGGAGGGUGCAAGCGUUAAUCGGAAUUACUGGGCGUAAAGCGCACGCAGGCGGUUUGUUAAGUCAGAUGUGAAAUCCCCGCGCUUAACGUGGGAACUGCAUUUGAAACUGGCAAGCUAGAGUCUUGUAGAGGGGGGUAGAAUUCCAGGUGUAGCGGUGAAAUGCGUAGAGAUCUGGAGGAAUACCGGUGGCGAAGGCGGCCCCCUGGACAAAGACUGACGCUCAGGUGCGAAAGCGUGGGGAGCAAACA